rnacentral:rRNA from 1 species
UACGAAGAGGGCUAGCGUUGUUCGGAAUUACUGGGCGUAAAGCGCACGUAGGCGGAUCCUUAAGUCGGAGGUGGAAUCCCGGAGCUCAACUCCGGAACUGCCUUCGAUACUGGGGAUCUUGAGGUCGAGAGAGGUGAGUGGAAUUCCGAGUGUAGAGGUGAAAUUCGUAGAUAUUCGGAGGAACACCAGUGGCGAAGGCGGCUCACUGGCUCGAUACUGACGCUGAGGUGAGAAAGCGUGGGGAGCAAACAGG